GAUUCUUGGUUGGAACCAAAGCUCUAUCAUCUCUGGUCCGUAUUGUCCCAUGGACGCAGAAAAGAAUAAGGAUCAUCAUUAGCAGCAGCAGCGGAGAAAUCAAAGUGGCCUUGAUGAUUCAGAAAAGGCUCACUGACAUUCCCGUUUUGAGGCGGUGCGAGUGGAGCUGUCAGGUAAGAGUCGCUGACAUUCCCUACUUGAGGUGGCGCUAGUGGAGCUGUCAGGUAAGAGUCGCUGACAUUCCAAACAUGCGGUGGUGCUAAGGGAGCUGUGAGAUCCUGGAGCUCCAAGUAUAGCUCCGAGUUUUCAAUCAGGUCGUAAGAGGGUGUCCUUGGCAUGAUGUUGUUGUUAUGCAUAUUGCUAAAGUCGGGUAGGUCGUCGAAUAUCACUUCCUCUCCAAAGGAAAUUGGAGCUGAGACAUUGGGAACAUGUCUUGCCUGUAUAAGAUGAUACAUAUUUGAUUCAGAGGAAUACAUUUUAUGAUAAUAAGACAGCAAAGAAGCUUCAUGUGAUGUUUACCAAUUACCAAUGCCAUUAAAGUUCAAAACACUUAACAGUUUCAAAGUUGCUUCACUAUCCUAACACAAUCAUAACAGUAAGCCAAAAAAAAAGAACCUACCU